rnacentral:rRNA from 1 species
AAAGCUAUUUAGGUAGCGCCUCUCGUAUCACCAUUGGGGGUAGAGCACUGUUUGGGCUAGGGGGCCAUCCCGGCUUACCAACCCCAUGCAAACUCCGAAUACCAAUGAGUGGCAGCGAGGGAGACAGACGGCGGGUGCUAACGUCCGUCGUCGAGAGGGAAACAACCCAGACCGCCAGCUAAGGUCCCCAAAUCAUGGCUAAGUGGGAAACGAUGUGGGAAGGCUAAGACAGCCAGGAGGUUGGCUUAGAAGCAGCCAUCCUUUAAAGAAAGCGUAAUAGCUCACUGGUCGAGUCGGCCUGCGCGGAAGAUGUAACGGGGCUCAAGCCAUGUACCGAAGCUGCGGACUUGCCUUAUGGCAAGUGGUAGGGGAGCGUUCUGUACGCCUGCGAAGGUGUGCUGUAAGGCAUGCUGGAGGUAUCAGAAGUGCGAAUGCUGACAUGAGUAACGAUAAGGGGAGUGAAAAUCUCCCCCGCCGAAAGACCAAGGUUUCCUGCGCAACGCUCAUCGGCGCAGGGUAAGUCGGCCCCUAAGGCGAGGCGGAAACGCGUAGUCGAUGGGAAACAGGUCAAUAUUCCUGUACCAGUUAUAACUGCGAUGGAGUGACGGAGAAGGCUAGGCCAUCCGGGCGUUGGUUGUCCCGGUUCAAGCGUGUAGGCAGAUCUCUUAGGUAAAUCCGGGGGGUUAAUGCUGAGGCGUGAUGACGGUGGAUCUACGGAUCCCGAAGUGGUUGAUGCCCGGCUUCCAAGAAAAGCUUCUAAGCAUCAGGUUAUGACUGACCGUACCCCAAACCGACACAGGUGGUCAGGUAGAGAAUACCGAGGCGCUUGAGAGAACCCGGGUGAAGGAACUAGGCAAAAUGGUGCCGUAACUUCGGGAGAAGGCACGCCGGUUUUGGUGAAGGGACUUGCUCCCCGAGCUGAGGCCGGUCGAAGAUACCAGGUGGCUGCGACUGUUUAGUAAAAACACAGCACUCUGCAAACGCGUAAGCGGACGUAUAGGGUGUGACGCCUGCCCGGUGCCGGAAGGUUAAUUGAUGGGGUUAGGGAAACCGAAGCUCUUGAUCGAAGCCCCGGUAAACGGCGGCCGUAACUAUAACGGUCCUAAGGUAGCGAAAUUCCUUGUCGGGUAAGUUCCGACCUGCACGAAUGGCGUAACGAUGGCCACACUGUCUCCACCCGGGACUCAGUGAAAUUGAAAUCGCGGUGAAGAUGCCGUGUACCCGCGGCUAGACGGAAAGACCCCGUGAACCUUUACUAUAGCUUCACACUGGACUUUGAUCUGACUUGUGUAGGAUAGGUGGGAGACUUUGAAGCGUGCUCGCCAGAGUGCGUGGAGUCGACCUUGAAAUACCACCCUGGUCAUGUUGGGGUUCUAACUUAGGCCCGUUAUCCGGGUUGAGGACAGUGUGUGGUGGGUAGUUUGACUGGGGCGGUCUCCUCCCAAAGUGUAACGGAGGAGCACGAAGGUGGGCUCAGCGCGGUCGGAAAUCGCGCAUUGAGUGUAAAGGCACAAGCCCGCUUGACUGCGAGACUGACAAGUCGAGCAGGUACGAAAGUAGGUCUUAGUGAUCCGGUGGUUCUGUAUGGAAGGGCCAUCGCUCAACGGAUAAAAGGUACUCCGGGGAUAACAGGCUGAUACCGCCCAAGAGUUCACAUCGACGGCGGUGUUUGGCACCUCGAUGUCGGCUCAUCACAUCCUGGGGCUGAAGCCGGUCCCAAGGGUAUGGCUGUUCGCCAUUUAAAGUGGUACGCGAGCUGGGUUUAGAACGUCGUGAGACAGUUCGGUCCCUAUCUGCCGUGGGCGUUUGAGGUUUGAGAAGAGCUGCUCCUAGUACGAGAGGACCGGAGUGGACGAACCUCUGGUGUUCGGGUUGUCACGCCAGUGGCAUUGCCCGGUAGCUAUGUUCGGACGGGAUAACCGCUGAAAGCAUCUAAGCGGGAAGCCUCCUUCAAGAUGAGACCUCACUGGGGCCUUGAGCCCCCUGAAGGG